CGAGCGAACAGGGAAGAGUCCAKCUACCGAAUGCCACGUCAUGCCGAVUCUGUCGUGAAUUGUGGUGUUUGGGAGGGUCCGCCAUCCCGCGGCCUUCGCGGCGAGUCCAAGUCCGACUUGAAUGAGGCCACGGCCCGUAGAGGGUGCCAGGCCCGUAGGACCGUCGCGGGUUGCGGGAGGACCUUUCCUUAGAGUCGGGUUGCUUGAGAGUGCAGCUCAAAGUGGGUGGUAAACUCCAUCUAAGGCUAAAUAWGBCACGAGACCGAUAGCGAACAAGUACCGUGAGGGAAAGGUGAAAAGAACUUUGAWGAGAGAGUUCAAAAGUACGUGAARCCGUUCUGGGGUAAACGUGAGAAGUCCGAAAGGUCGAACGGCGAGAUUCACGCCUAUCCGGGCCACCGGCCUCUACCUUCGGCAGAUGGGACCGGCCGCCCGCACGGUGCAUAGCCGUGGCGGGGUCGUGUUCGGUUACCUCCACUCGCCGCGAGGUGGAGCCGUUCCGGUGUGCGGUGGGCCGCACUUCUCCCCUAUAGGACGUCGCGACCCGCUGGGUGCCGGCCUAAGGCCUGGGUGCGCAGCCUGCRCUUCCGCACGUGUCUCCGGGCGCGUGUGCUCGUCGUGCAGAGCCCCRGUGUUCCCCGACCGGUGCCCGGCGGUAUCUGURAGGAGUUGAUUCGCCACAUUUUKUGUGGGCGYCCGGGCCCCCGGCAAGCGCGCGCGGUUCUUCUCGGAUGACGGUCCUACCGGGCCCGGCUCCGAACCCGCGCCGCUGUUGGCUCGGGUGUGUUCUCDGGCGGAAUAAUCGCUCYCGUCAGCGGCGCUUCAGCUUUGGACAAUUUCACGACCCGUCUUGAAACACGGACCAAGGAGUCUAACAUGUGCGCGAGUUAUUGGGCUUUACUAAACCCAUAGGCGCAAUGAAAGUGAAGGUUACGCCUCGCGCGGACCGAGGGAAGACGGGGGUUGUGCCGCGUGCUUUUGCCCGAGGUUACGCCCUUUGCAUUCCCGGGGCGUCUCGUCCUCAUUGCGAGGUGAGGCGCACCUAGAGCGCACACGUUGGGACCCGAAAGAUGGUGACCUAUGCCUGGVCAGGACGAAGUCAGGGGAAACCCUGAUGGAGGUCCGUAGCGAUUCUGACGUGCAAAUCGAUCGUCGGAGCUGGGUAUAGCGGCRAAAGACUCAUCGAACUAUCUAGUAGCUGGUUCCCUCCGAAGUUUCCCUCAGGAUAGCUGGGGCUCAGAACGAGUCUCAUCCGGUAAAGCGAAUGAUUAGAGGCCUUGGGGCCGAAACGACCUCAACCUAUUCUCAAACUUUAAAUGGGUGAGAUCUCCGGCUUGCUUAAUUGAAGCCGCGAGAAUUUMUUUACGAUCGGAGUAGHCWAGURGGCCACUUUUUGUAAGCAGAACUGGCGYUGUGGAUGAACCAACGMCGAGWUAAGGCGCCCGAAUCGACGCUCAUGRGAAACCAUGAAAGGCGUUGGUUGCUUAUGACAUCAGSUCGGUGGCCAUGGAAGUCGGAAUCCGCUAAGGAGUGUGUAACAACUCAUCUGMCGAAGCARCUAGCCCUGAAAAUGGAYGGCGCUGAAGCGUCGUGCMUAUWCUCGGCCGUCAGUCCGGCAGUCUUGGUCGGCGGCCUGCGGUCGCCGKCCGCGAAACCCUGAYGAGUAGGAGGGWCGCGGCGGUGAGGCSCGGAAGGGUCUGGGCGUGAGCCUUKCCUGGAGCCGCCGUCGGYGCAGAUBUUGGUGGUAGUACCAAAUACUCCAGSGAGGCCCUGGAGGGGCYGAUGUGGAGAAGGGUUUCGUGGUGAACMGCCGUUGCACACGAGUCMGUCGUUCCUADUCCUAGGGAAAYCBGAAGUSGAUGGGGACCGUAUUGUCCCCUUCGAGUGGUAGGUCCCCGUUGGGCGAAAGGGAAUCCGGUUCCUAUUCCGGAACCCGGSARCGKAUACUCGAAWCAGAGUCGGGYCCCUSGAAAGAGAAGCUCGUCGGGGUAACCCAAAAGGACCCGGAGACGCCGUCGGGAGAUCGGGGAAGAGUUUUCUUUUCUGCAUGAGCGUUCGAGUUCCCUGGAAUCCUCUAGCAGGGAGAUAGGGUUUGGAACGCGAAGAGCACCGCAGUGAUUAACAUUGUUAAAAAAGU
rnacentral:rRNA from 1 species